GGAAUUGCAUCAAGCAUGCAUCAACACAACUGAAUUAAACCACCGGUAAAAAAUACAAAGAAAAUUCCUGUUAUUUGCCCAUCACUUCUCCCUUUUGGGUCUUGGCUUUUGAGGCCACAGAAAAAAGGAAAAUCGCAGAACAAUUGCAAACAGAAAAGAUGUUUCUCCUGGGGUGAGGGAUUUUAAAAAAAAAUCUGACUACACAAUUUUCUAAUGCUUGCUGCAUCCUCUGACUUUAGAACUCAAGGCCAAUGUAAGAUGUAACUCCACUGCAACCACUCUCAUUUAAUGAGCAACUGUAAAGUACCUCUAGGAAGUAUCAGGGUGCAAGGGAAAGAGCAUGAUCUUUGGAAUCAGGCAGACCCUGAUUUGGAUCCUGGCAGUAUGAGUAUCAGCAAGGCAGUGAGCCUCCCUGAACUUCAGAGUCCUCAUCUAUAAAAUAGAAGUGGCCAUUGCUGCCUCGUACGACUGUGGAGUCAAAGGUGGAAGUACUCUGCAGUCUGUGUAGUAUGUUAGUUAUCAGUCACAUAAGCAGAUUUCCCUGCUCCCGGCUGGGGACUGUAACAUGCUCAGCCAUUGCCCAGGAACUGUGCCAGGGCUAGGUGCCUGUCACGGCUCUCCUGGAGAACCCUCAGUAGCUUCCCACCCCUUCUAUGGGGUGCUGCAGCUGCAGCACUGUUUGUCAGGCUCGGGCCACUUAAUAUGCAGCUCCAGCAACAUCAAACCUUUGGGCAUGGGCAGGGGCCAGGCAUCUGCCUCCCAGAGACUUGAGCGCAGCAGCAGGAGGGCCUGGCAGGAGAGGGCAGGGCUGGGCAGCCCGAGGACUCCAGCGGGGUGGCCCAAAGAGAGGAGGCUUUCCGGCAUCCCCGGCAUGGCCUAUCCCCUUUGUCCUGCCUGCCCUCUGGACAGAGAGAGACUCAUUAUCCAGUUAGAUGCUAGGCGGUAAGAGGAGGAAGCUAAUUGUGCUAGCGCUAGCUAAUUAAUGCUGCCUUUCCUAUUAACAUUCUUUGGAGUGCUCCAUUUCAAUUAGAUGAUCUGUCCAGGAAGAGAGGCUGUCGUCAGUCCAGAGAAAGUAAGCAAGAGGAGGUGACGGAAGGAGGGAAACAGAGACAGAGACAGAGGAAAAGAGGAGAGAGACCGAAGGGAGAGUGGAAUGGUGGGGGAUGAGGGAGAGACUGAGAUGCAAAUAGGGAAACAAAAGAAGAAACAGAAAGGAAGAAUGACUGAGGAUGAGGGGGAGAGGAGGGGUGCGCAGCAGAAGACUUGCAAGAGAGAGGCCUGGAAGGGGUGGGAAUUGCUCCUGUAAUAUGCAAGAUUCGUAUUAAUGAAAUAAUUAAACUUCCCAUUUGCAACGCCCUAACACGAGCCUGCCAGCUUGCCGAGGGGAUGGUAACUGCUCUGAGUCCCGAUUUGUAUUCGCACUGGAGGCAGCUCAGACUCACCCAAUCUCCAAAGGGAAAAACCAAGUCUGCAUGUGGAGAACGGGUAUAACAGUACUCACCGCAGAAACUGUCAGAAGGAUGGCGUACACAACAGACUGAGUACGGUGCCUGGCACACUCAGAGGUAGUCAAAAAUUAAACUCUGGGCCUUGCCGGGGCCCAUGAAUCAAGGUGGACGCAUAUCCACGAAACCAACCAUCCUCCUCUUGGGAAAGGCAACCGAGGCAGCUGCUUAAAAGAGAACAGGCCCUAGGGAGCCUCAUAAGGAAAGACUUCACCCACUUUCAAGCCCAGGCUUGUGGAAAUCCAAAGCCAUAUCUGCAGUCAAAUCCCAGCUUUAUAACAGAAGAAAAAACGCACAUCUAUAUGCAUUUAAAAACCCAUUAAUAGCAGUAACCUGUUUGGGAGGAUUAUGGGUGAUUUUUAUUUUCUCCUUUGUACUUGUCUGUUUCUAAUUUUUCUGCAAUGAUCAGGUAUAUCCUUACUUUUAGAAUCAGAAAUAAAUGUUAUUUAAAAAUAGAA